CAGUCGCCGCGGUAAUACAGAGGGUGCGAGCGUUAAUCGGUUUUACUGGGCGUAAAGCGUGCGUAGGCGGCUAAUUGAGUCGGAUGUGAAAUCCCCGAGCUUAACUUGGGAAUUGCAUUCGAUACUGGUUAGCUAGAGUGUGGGAGAGGAUGGUAGAAUUCCAGGUGUAGCGGUGAAAUGCGUAGAGAUCUGGAGGAAUACCGAUGGCGAAGGCAGCCAUCUGGCCUAACACUGACGCUGAGGUACGAAAGCAUGGGGAGCAAACAGGAUUAGAUACCCCGGUAGUCCCUGUCUCUUAUAA
rnacentral:rRNA from 1 species